ACCGUCACAAACGCCAAACUACCUUUCGCCUCCACACUCCCCAUCACCACCACCAACAACUGCUUAUACGCAUAAUAAAACUUCUUCACCGCCGCUUCAACCGCCUGCAAGCUCUGCAACAGAUGAAUCUUCACGGCGGCGUUCUUCCUCCGGUACAGCUUCAUCGCCGCCUCCUGAAUCCUCGGUCCUCCGUUCGGAUCCACCUCCACACCAAGUAUGUACGGUACCUUAUGCCUUAAAUUCUUCGAACGUUUCGUGAUCUCAAUCAACGCUUUUGACCGGAAACAAAACGAUUCCGAUUCCGAUUCUGUUUUAAUAUCUAACUGAUUCUUCAACCGGAGAAAAUCGUCUGGAUCCAUCAACAAAUGUAGAUCUUCAAUCUCCGUCAACAGUUUCCAGAUCUGUUCUAGAAUGUAACCGUUAUUCGAAGCGGAUUCAAACCUAUCCGAAUCGAUUUCCGAUUCGAUCCGGUUUAGGAUCCGAUUCGCUACGUGGAUCCAACACUCUAGGAUCUGGUGCGUUGUGUAUAGCGUUCGGUUUUCGUAGUUGCUGACGUCAGCUUUUUCCGGUGGAGAUUUUGUUAAGUAAUGAAGCUCUGACGGCUUGCAAACGACGUCGUAGUGGAGACUCGGCUUCCCGCUCAAAUUCGGCUCACCUAACCCUAACGUGUACGGACACCGUCUCAUCUGGCUUUCGAUUGAGUACUGGAUUUUCUGAGCCACUUCUUCGGCUUUCUUCCACGUGGCAAGCCGAGGUAACAAGCUUUCUUCGCUUAUCUGGCUCACUAAAACCGUCGCGUCUUCUUCAUCAUUCAGCUUCCACACCUCAGCCGAGCUGCCUUCACGAGUCAACACGCCAGUACUCUCUCCAAUAUCAACUAUCGGCGCGGUGAUGACGUCAUCCUGUUCGCAAAACAACGAGAUCAGCUCAAUCUGGCUCGUGGCUAACGACUCGAGCCGCCGGCUCCACUCGCGCCGGUUCACAUAAGGUCUAGGAUCAGAUAACACGGUUGAGACAAACCGGAAGGCGGUAUCGGACGCUGGUGAUAAUUCGGUAGCUCGAACUGGAGGUGGUGGAACUGGAACAGAAAGUUUUGGUGAUCUGGUGGUUGGUUUGGAAUCGGUGAAAGUUGCAGGUGGAAUGAUGUGUAUAUAUAGGGGGGUAAUGGAUAUGGGUGAGGGACAGAGGGGGGAAAUAAACGCGUGUGGAAGCGAGGAACAUGGAAUUUGAAAGUCGCCGCAAUGUUGAAGGUGGAUGGUGGAUGGAAGAAGAAAAAUAGGCUUAUCCGUAAACAGAUAAAGUACCUAGCAUUGAAUUAACGGGUCGGGUCACGUUCCAUCCCUCGGAUAAAAGAAGCUUCCCAAAUCCCAAUUGGGAAUAUUAGUCAUGGGCCAUGGUUCUUUGUAUGAAAAAACCAUGUGUUUUUGGCGCCAUUAUUUUCUAUUAAUUCCGUGAUACAUAAUUUUUAACGUUUACUAGAUGCGUAAUGUUUAUAUCAUUUUUUUAAACGACAAAGUUGGAUCAGUGAUAAACCAUUAGAGUAUAAUCAUCAUGCCACCAACAGAAUUGAACUCAGAAUCUAUUGGUCUCCAAACUUUAUUCCACCACCAAAAUGUCACUAGACUGUAUAGCCAUAGACGUAAUGUUUAUGUCAUGUCUUUGAAUUUAACUCAUGUAUGUUUAUGUUCAUUUUAAAGAAUUUGUUUAUAGUAGUGGAUAUGCGCUACUUUAUAUCGUGUAUAUAUGACUUUAAACCAUAAACAACAAAUAGGGGCGUAGCUUUGUAGGGCUAGGGGGUGCUUUGGCCCCGCUGGUGUUUCAUUCAUUAGCGUAAAUUUUCUAGUAUUUUGUCCGAAAAUUUUAUAAGCAUUGAGUCCGACCCCAUCAAUAUUUUGCCUAAAAAUUCGUGGCCCCCACCAAAUUUCUUGUCAAAAAAAAUUAUACAUAUUGUCAUAUUGAGUUAAAAUAAAAAUCGUUAGUGUUGUCUUUGUCGUCUGGUCUGCCGCCAUCAGCAGUUCAUUGGAGAUCAUAGAGCAGUGAUCGGCGCACGAUGAUCGGUGACACAUAGGUGUCCUUGUGUACUUCUUGUCUCCUGCACGAUUGCUAAUCGUGCAGUAUUGCUGGACACAGCCUGUCGUGCGCCUAUUGGCUAUUUGCUCUAACAUUCGUAUCAGUUGUACUAUCUAAGGUCGUCCAGCUGGCGCAGAGAAGCUUGCGUUUCUUAGGCUUGCGUCAUUUCGUUGAAAAAUGGACUAAGUGUUAGAUUUUGUCUGUUUUGGGUAUGGCUUAGUGCGCGACUUAAGCUUGCUUCGUGUAGUCGGCGCAGAAUUAAGGAUUAUACCCCUUCAGAUACAACCUUGUCAACAGAAUAGUGUGUAGAAUCCAUAUUU
rnacentral:lncRNA from 1 species